UCUCCUUCAUUUAAAUUAUCCAGUAAAAAUUUCCACCGAACAACCCCUGUGGCCGUCGCCUUCGUUCCAUGUUCUCUUUCCCUCCAUGUGCUGCCGUCUUCACCAUUUUUCCCCUCCAGCAGACACCACUCACGCUAGAAUUCUUCACUCGCGCGCCUCAUCCCAUGCCAAGCUGCCACUCGUCUGCAAAACACCCAUCUCCAGUCAACCAUUGAAGCUUUAGUUGACUGAAGCAGCCCCAAAAUUCCACGAAGCAAGUCCACCGAAGAAAUCCCCACGCGUCCGCUUCUUUUCCUUCGACUGCCAGCACGGUCGCAAGAUUUUCCCAGGCGGUGACCGAAGCUGCUCUCCCACAAUCUUUGGUCUUCUGCCGCAGCAAACCAAGUCAACAACCCGACAAGUUCCUCCACCGAAGUUGACUUCUCACGUGCCCUUCAUCCGCCGAAACUCCUCCAUCUGCACGUGUCCUCAACCGAACAACGCUAGAGAAUUCAGCCGUGAGUCCAGCAGAUUCGGGUUCAGCUUCUACAGAUUUGUUGACCGUGAUUCCCCCGAAUUCGUGCAGUCCUCAUCCAGCGAAUUUCACGGGCUCAACAUCACCAAAGCGAAGCAGUUGCUACUUCCCUCGUCCGCUUCUCCGCCUCUCUCAGCCACGUGGUCUUCUCCUCCAACAGCAGCGCCUGCGUCUCCUCCCCACGAAGACCGAAGCUACCAACGCCCAUCUCCACUAGCGUUGGUCUCCCUCGGUCAAAACACUCUCGCUGGCUUUGAUGUUUGACUGAGCAGCAUCCACGAAACCUUGGCCAACUCCAGCAGCUUCGGCCAUUUGUCCGCGUGCUCCCAUCUUCCGUAACAACACACGCCAACCCACUUCUCGCUUCUACGAGACAUCCCCAAACAGCUCGAGCAAAACCGGUGUCGUCCGCAGCUCGAUGCCAGCAAAUCCAACGCCUGCAGCUUCAGCGUCUUCGUCUCUUUCUUCGCUAGCUCGUGGAUCGGCCCUGCAAUUGAAGCCACGGCAACUCCAGUCCACGAAGCAGGCCCGUGAAUCCAGUCAGUCUGCGGCCCAUGUGAGACUCUGCCCAACUCCUUCGUGAGUUCAGCCGCAAGCCCAUUGGAAGCCCAUGAUUUCAGCAGUCUUCGGCCCAGCAGAUUCUUUUCUGGUUCAAGCCCAUUCACAGCAACCUUCAGUCCAUUUGAAGCCCAUGUUCAGUCUUGAUUCAAGCCCAGUCCAGUGAAGUCCAGCAAGUCUUUUUGAAGCCCAAGCCCACGAGGCAAGAUCUUUGGGCCCGGCCCGAGUGUCCGUUGACGCCGCCGAAAGUUUGGAUUUCGGCCGCCGCCGCGUCGCCAUCGCAGUGUUCCGAUCUUUGCUUUGCUCAAGACCCUGAGGAGAAGCUGAGGAUGAGGAACCUGAAUGGGAGAAAGACUUUUGAAGAAGCAGAUGAUCCAGAGAGGGAUCUUGAGUAUAACUCGGAUGUGGAUUGAGAUCCCAUCCCUUUUGUGAACCCUGUCUUAGUAUAGAUAGUGUGAGACAAGUAAGCUAUGAGUAGUAUUGUAAAUGUACUAUGAGUUGUGUUGUUAAUGAAAGUGUGGUUGUGAAUUUCAAUAUGAAAAA